UACGUAGGGGGCAAGCGUUGUCCGGAAUCAUUGGGCGUAAAGAGCGUGUAGGCGGCUCGGUAAGUCCGCUGUGAAAGUCCAGGGCUCAACCCUGGGAUGCCGGUGGAUACUGUCGGGCUCGAGUCCGGAAGAGGAGUGUGGAAUUCCUGGUGUAGCGGUGAAAUGCGCAGAUAUCAGGAGGAACACCAAUGGCGAAGGCAGCACUCUGGGACGUGACUGACGCUGAGACGCGAAAGCGUGGGGAGCAAACAGG
rnacentral:rRNA from 1 species